rnacentral:misc_RNA from 1 species
GUGAGUCAUCGAAUCUUUGAACGCACAUUGCGCCCCCUGGUAUUCCGGGGGGCAUGCCUGUUCGAGCGUCAUUUCACCACUCAAGCCUCGCUUGGUAUUGGGCAUCGCGGUCCGCCGCGUGCCUCAAAUCGACCGGCUGGGUCUUCUGUCCCCUAAGCGUUGUGGAAACUAUUCGCUAAAGGGUGUUCGGGAGGCUACGCCGUAAAACAACCCCAUUUCUAAGGUUGACCUCGGAUCAGGUAGGGAUACCCGCUGAACUUAAGCAUAUCAAUAAGCGGAGGA